rnacentral:rRNA from 1 species
CAGUCGCACGGUAACACGGAGGGUGCAAGCGUUAAUCGGAAUUACUGGGCGUAAAGCGCACGCAGGCGGUCUGUCAAGUCAGAUGUGAAAUCCCCGGGCUUAACCUGGGAACUGCAUUUGAAACUGGCAGGCUAGAGUCUUGUAGAGGGGGGUAGAAUUCCAGGUGUAGCGGUGAAAUGCGUAGAGAUCUGGAGGAAUACCGGUGGCGAAGGCGGCCCCCUGGACAAAGACUGACGCUCAGGUGCGAAAGCGUGGGGAGCAAACAGGAUUAGAUACCCCAGUAGUCCCUGUCUCUUAUACA